GUGCCACCGCCGCGGUAAUACCGGCAGCCCGAGUGAUGGCCGAUCUUAUUGGGCCUAAAGCGUCCGUAGCUGGCCGCACAAGUCCAUCGGAAAAUCCACCCGCCCAACGGGUGGGCGUCCGGUGGAAACUGUGUGGCUUGGGACCGGAAGGCGCGACGGGUACGUCCGGGGUAGGGGUGAAAUCCCGUAAUCCUGGACGGACCGCCGAUGGCGAAAGCACGUCGCGAGGACGGAUCCGACAGUGAGGGACGAAAGCCAGGGUCUCGAACCGGAUUAGAAACCCCGGUAGUCC
rnacentral:rRNA from 1 species